rnacentral:rRNA from 1 species
CCUACGGGUGGCAGCAGUGAGGAAUAUUGGGCAAUGGACGAGAGUCUGAACCAGCCAAGUAGCGUGAAGGAUGAAUGCCCUCGGGGUUUUAAACUUCUUUUAUAUGGGAGUAAAAUGUUCCACGUGUGGGGUUUUGUAUGUACCUUAUGAAUAAGGAUCGGCGAACUCCGUACCAGCAGCCGCGGUAAUACGGAGGAUCCGAGGGUUGUCCGGAUUUAUUGGGUUUAAGGGUAGCGUAGGUGGAUUGUUAAGUCAGUUGUGAAAGUUUGCGGCUUAACCGUAAAACUGCAGUUGAAACUGGCAGUCUUGAGUACAGUAGAGGUGGGCGGAAUUCGUGGUGUAGCGGUGAAAUGCUUAGAUAUUACGAAGAACUCCGAUUGCGAAGGCAGCUCACUGGACUGCAACUGACACUGAGGCUCGAAAGUGUGGGUAUCAAACAGGAUUAGAUACCCUGGUAGUC